CGGAAUUGUAGUUUAAUUAAAAUAUUAGCAUUGGAAGCUAAAGAAUAGGUCAUAACCUACAUUUCGA
rnacentral:tRNA from 1 species